CUGAAUAACUCAGCUGAUCGCACAGUCCUAGCACUGGUGACAUAUCUUUCAAGUGUCUGCCUUAUCAACUGUCGAUGGUAGUUUACAUGACUACCAUGGUUGUAACGGGUAACGGAGAAUAAGGGUUCGACUCCGGAGAGGGAGCCUGAGAAACGGCUACCACAUCCAAGGAAGGCAGCAGGCGCGCAAAUUACCCAAUCUCAGCUCGAGGAGGUAGUGACGAAAAAUAACAAGACGGUUCUCUAUGAGGUCCGUCAUCGGAAUGGGUACAAUUUAAACCCUUUAACGAGGAUCUAUUGGAGGGCAAGUCUGGUGCCAGCAGCCGCGGUAAUUCCAGCUCCAAUAGCGUAUAUUAAAGUUGUUGCGGUUAAAAAG
rnacentral:rRNA from 1 species